rnacentral:rRNA from 1 species
UACGUAGGGUGCAAGCGUUAAUCGGAAUUACUGGGCGUAAAGCGUGCGCAGGUGGUUGUGCAAGACAGACGUGAAAUCCCCGGGCUUAACCUGGGAACUGCGUUUGUGACUGCACGGCUAGAGUGCGGCAGAGGGGGAUGGAAUUCCGCGUGUAGCAGUGAAAUGCGUAGAUAUGCGGAGGAACACCGAUGGCGAAGGCAAUCCCCUGGGCCUGCACUGACACUCAUGCACGAAAGCGUGGGGAGCAAACAGGAUUAGAAACCCCUGUAGU